rnacentral:rRNA from 1 species
UUGCCAGCCCGCUCAGAAACUCAAAGGAAUUGACGGGGCCGCACAAGCGGAGGAGCAUGUGGUUUAAUUCGAUGAUACGCGAGGAACCUUACCUGGGCUCGAACGUAAGAUGACUGUAGGUGAAAGCUUACAUCUCUUCGGAGCAUUUUACGAGGUGCUGCAUGGUUGUCGUCAGCUCGUGCCGUGAGGUGUCGGGUUAAGUCCCAUAACGAGCGCAACCCCUACCUUUAGUUGCCAUCAGGUUAAGCUGGGGACUCUAAAGGAACUGCCUACGCAAGUAGUGAGGAAGGCGGGGAUGACGUCAAAUCAGCACGGCCCUUACGUCCAGGGCUACACACGUGCUACAAUGGCCGAUACAGAGGGCAGCUACCUGGUGACAGGAUGCAAAUCUCCAAAGUCGGUCUCAGUUCGGAUCGGAGUCUGCAACCCGACUCCGUGAAGUUGGAUUCGCUAGUAAUCGCGCAUCAGCCAUGGCGCGGUGAAUACGUUCCCGGGCCUU